AAGGAAAAUUUAAAACACUUGAAAGAGAUAUGGUGUUUUCACUCUGCGCUUUCACUUUUGGUGUAAGUUUGCGUGAAGACAUUACGUGCGAACAAAAAUGAUAAGCUUCUGUUAAUCCAAGCUACGACUAUUCCAGAUACGUGAUGAAAGUUUUAAUGUAUGUACAGGUGUUGCCAGCUUAUUAUCUUUAUUAUACUUUAUUGCAGAAGAAAAAAAUUCUUAUCUUCUAUUUGUGAUCUUAUUAUCGG